AAGAUAAUGUAGGUAAAACCCUUAGAACAGUGCUUGAGUGAGUCAGCUCUCAACAAACGUUAGCUGUGAUUAUUGUUAUUACUAUUAUUACUUUUGCUACCAUCUAAGAGCUCCAGCUGAUUUAUGGCAGAGCCAUGUCUGAUGUCUGACAGUCCAGUGUCCACCCCAUCAGGAACUCUCUUCAACACAGCGCCGGGUUUAUUUCCGCCUCUGGAAUGCAGCACUGGGGGGAUUCCUGGCAGUGCCGGACCACGUGGAGGACAUGAAGGCAGGCCGUGUGGUGGUCUCCGACCCCCGAGCUGGAGGUAGCUGCAUCUGGUACUACGAGGAUGGGAUGCUGAAGAACCAGAUGGCCCCCACAAUGAGCCUGCAGGUGAUUGGACCCCCUAGCUCAGGCUCCAAGGUGGUGCUGUGGGCCGAGAGCCGCCUGCCACGCCAGACGUGGAGCAUCAGUGAAUCGGGCCACAUCUGCAGCCAGAUGUUCGAAGGCCAGAUCCUGGAUGUGAAGGGAGGCCGGGGCUACGACCGGGACCACGUGGUGCUAUGGGAGCCGGAUGAGGACAGAGCAUCCCAGAUCUGGACCAUCCAUGUGCUUUGAACCUUUUCCCCUCACCCUCCAGCCCUGGAGGCUUUUGCUGGGAUGAAUGUUUUUAUAGGGUUUUUGUUGUAACAUAAGCUAUUUUCUAAUA
rnacentral:sRNA from 1 species